rnacentral:lncRNA from 1 species
UGUCACACACACCAAUGACUCGAGACUAGUCACUCUCCCUGAGAGAAGACACAACACGUACUAAUCUUAACGGACUGUCAAUGCCCAAUUGGCAAUCCUAUGAUCAGGAACGUUUAGGAUGUGUCUACGAAAGAAUGGUCUCAUGAAUCUAACUUUUUUAGAUUGCAUUCUCCCAAUCACAUAUUCCUUGGACUUAUCGUUUAAGCAUAUAACAUUUAUAUGACACGGCUCAAACAAUAAUCUUUGCCCUUUAUAUUUAAACUACGUUAGUUUAACUUGUGAAAUGUCCGUAAAGUAUCAUCAUAUGAUUGGUUUUAGGGCACAUUUCCAACAUUCUUUACACAUGAAGGAAAAUAUAAACAAUUUUUAAGUUCCGAGACAUCCCCAGAGGGCAGUUUAAGCAUGUAGGUGCCUAUUGCUUUAGCAGAGAUCUUAGUGUUGUUCCCAACUCGCACAAUAAUCUCCCCAUUGCGCAAUGUCCUGCUCCCUGUUAGUCCUUGCAACGAAUUGCAGAUAUGUUGACUAGCGCCUGAAUCAAAUAUCCAGGAAUUUGAUGUGAGAAAUAAGUUAACACACAAAAUUAAACCCUCUUUUUGACAAUUGUAGUAUAGAUGUAAGUAGGGUAUCGUUCUAG